rfam:Ogataea parapolymorpha DL-1 chromosome IV, whole genome shotgun sequence.
GCCUGGCUAGCUCAAUCGGUAGAGCGUGUGACUCUUAAUCACAAGGCUGCGGGUUCGAGCCCCGCGUCGGGCU